rnacentral:lncRNA from 1 species
UCCCUUCGAGGACUUUUGGGAUGUGAUCCCGGAGAGAUGCAGGCAAUGGAGUCCAAUUGGACUCAGACGAUUUACAUGCAUCAAAUAAAAUGUAAGGAUUAUCACAUGCAACAUGUAGUACCAAUAUGUAUAUAGUGAAAAUAGAGUCUGUGAAUAUGUCCAAGUAGCUAGUUUGAUUGAUUUUGCUGGUGUUGAUGUUGGUUUUGAUGUUGAAAUUAUGGAACACCGUAUAUCAAGUGUUGUUGGUGGUUGUGCGCGUGGGAAAUAAUGUUGUACGCAGUAGUUUUGUCAUUUUUCGUUGAUAAUGUUAUUGGGAUGGUUUUUCUACUGGAGGUUGAACGUUGUUUGAAGUGAGUUAUUGUUAACAUUGGAACGGUGGUUGUUGUACGCUGUUUGAGGAAAAUUUAAAAAAAGGGGAAAUAAGGGUUUGGGCUGGGUUGGUUUGGUGGAUUGGGCUGGUGAGGGUUGUUGAAUAAAAGGAAGAAAUGGGCUAGGGGUUGUUGUUGGGCUGCUGGAUGGGAUAUAGCAUUAGGAAUUUAAUAAAAUGGCCCUUAUUGGAGUAAAACUUAGAUCAAGUUUAUUUAAAUUCUAACCAAAUUUUAAUAUCAAUUGGUCAAUUGCAUUAUAAUUGUGGCCAAGUUGAUUUCAAUUGAGGUUAAUUUAACAAAUUGACCAAACUUAAUUAAAACUUGAAAUGAAUUAACAUUUAUUUUAGUCCCGAGUUUCUUGAUUUAAUAAAAUUAAAUAUUUUUAUUGUAUUUUGUUUUAUUUGAUUUUCAAAAUAAAUUGUUUUGAGGCUAAAUUAUGUUUAUAUUAAAAUUUUAACCGUUUAAAUCAAUUUUAGAGAUAAUCCUUGGUUAAAAUUUAAUUUUCAUCAAAUAGUUAUUUAAAUAAAAAAAUUAUAUAAUUUUGUAUAAGCGAAUAAGAAAUAUGUAAUCGUUACUAAAAUGACAAAAUCACCCAGAUAAAUACUUUGAAAAACUUUUAUUUAAAUAAAAUCAAUAUUAUAAUUUUAUUUAAAAUUGAAGAAACUCGAAUUCAAAAUUAGUUGUGGAGAGAAAAAAGUAGGUGUCAACAAUUGCCUCCUCCCUUUGGGUAGGGUGGAUGUAUGUUACCUUGGACAAAGAGAGUUUGACGUUUCUAAUUUUGUCCGACCGCAAAUUUAUUUCUGAAAGAGGUUAAUUUUUGCACGAGUUUUAGAGAGUUAUGAUCGGACCCUGGUGUUGGGUUUCCUACAUAUCUUAGGUUACAUGAAAAUUCAGGUCACCUGUAGUUCACAAUGCUUUAUUAAAGCACGAUUUUCAAAGAAUUCACGAGCUAACCUGAUUUUGAAGUUUAGUGAAAUCGAAAAGCUAGGAAUAAGCAGAUUAGGGGGAGAAGUUGGAAUGCAGUCGAGUUUUCCACAUGGAUCUCAGCCUAUAUAUCUCCUAAGACUCAAGGAAUCAGACUGCCUAUAGUUUAACUCGAGCGGUGGAAAAGGUCGUAUAUUAUGGUAAGAUGAUCUUUGGCUCAGGAUGAGUGACAAGCUGAUUGAGUUGUGGAAAAAACGCUUGUAACCUCUUAACCAUAAGUCUGGAGCUCUUCACAUCCAUAGGUAAUACUUUACUCAGUAUAAUUUCCAAACUCUGAGUGUGUUGUCACUCGAAUUUGAAGAAAAGUGAAGGUUACCCUCGGUUUGAGUUUAGAAGUACUCCAAAAGUAAAACUGACACAAAAAUACCAAAAAUACCCACAUGCCUUCUGAUAGGGAUGUGGUUUGAUGGUGGUGGAAGUCGUCUUAUAGAUCGCAUCCGAAGAGUUUGGCAUCCCUCUCUGAACUAUGUCCCAGUUAGCUGCUAAGAAAAAGUUCCACGUUGUGCUGCAUCCUAUGUAAAGUUAUCCGCACCUGUGGUUUUGAUUUUAGAUUUUCAUCCUCUCGGAUGCUCUCGACAAUGCUUCAAACAAAAAUGUUAGUGCUAAACACAAUUCACAAAAGAGGUAUAUAGUCUUUACCAUAUCUCCACGUUAGUUGUUACUUGAAAAGAGAAGUCACUCCUUUUAUGUACCUAUUUGGAAGGAAAUAACUUGCAAUAAUAGGCACAACAACUCUCUUGGUUAUUGCCUAAUUUUCUCAUUUAUUGGUUGAAUGUGUUUUCAAAGUAGGGUGGCCCCUUUUGGACACCGACGACACUUUAUGCAGAAUGGUCCCUACAACCGCUUAAUCUUGCAUUGAUGCGGCAACCCUUUUGAGUCACCUAUAGUGCUUAUGAAAUGAUAACCUCUUCGGUUAUUACCAAUAAUUCUUUAUAUAUGAUCUCGGGUAGGUCUUGCGCAUCUUUUGUAUUGAUAUGACUUAUAGAUUUUCCUUGGAUUGACAAUCUUUGGAUAAUCUUGCACAUUAUUUGAUGUUGGAUAUGAGGCGAUUUAUAGAUAUCCUCUGAAUUGCUAGCCUUUAGGUAAUCCUGCACAUUAUCGACCUUGGAUCAGAGAUGGCUUAUAGAUAUCCCUCCAAUCGCUAGUUCUCAGAUAUUCCUGCACAUCAUCCGACCUUGGAUACAAUAUGACUUAUAGAUAUCUCUCAAAUUGCUAAUCCUUGGGUAAUCCUGCACAUAAUCGAUCUUGGAUAUGAUGCGGCUUAUAGAGAAUCCUUGGACUUAUUAAUUUGAUAAUCUCGAAUAUUCUCCGAUAAGAAUUUAGUUGCGACUUAUGGAUAACCUUCGGACUAUUAAUUUUUGGGUAACCUUGCAUACUAUACGGUUAGGAUGUUGUUGUGGCUUAUGGAUGACCUAUGGGCUAUCAACUCAGAGGUAAUCUUGCACACUAUCCUAUUUUAAAUAAUAUGACUUAUAGAUGAUCCUCAAAUUGUCAAUUUCAAAGAAAUCUCAUAUAUCAUCCAUCUCCAAAUAGCGACUUGAAGGCGUCCCUUCGAAUCACGUGUUUUUGAUGUAUUCAGAUGCUGAUUUAUAAAAUAAUGAGAUAUCCCUGAUGCCAUCAUAUGAUAUCUCGUGUGUCAAUAGAUAUUGAUGAUGAUGAUAUCCUCAACACCAGCGUAUGCUAUCUCGUGUGUUAAUAGAUAUUAGAUAUUAAUAAUAUCCUCGAUGCCAGCACUUGUGUCUCGCGUGUCAACGGGUAUUAGAUACUGAUGAUAUCCUCGACGCCAGUGUUUGUGUCUCGCAUGUCAACAGAUAUUAGAAUGUUUAUGAUAUCCUCAAUGCCAGCAUAUCAUAUCUCAUGUGUCAAUAAACAUUGAAUAUUGAUGAUAUCCUCGAUGCCAGAGUUUAUGUCUCAUGUGUCAACAGAUAUUAGAAUGUUGAUGAUAUCCUCAACGCUAGUGUAUGAUAUCUCGCAUGUCAACAAAUAUUAAAUGGCCCUCUUGGUAAUGGCAUGAAAUGACCCUCUUGGCAAUGAUAUAAAAUAGCCCUCUUGGCAAUGAUAUAAAAUGCCCCUCUUAGCAAUGGCAUGAAAUGGCCCUCUUGGCAAUGAUAUGAAAUAGCCCUCUUGCCAAUGAUAUAAAAUGGCCCUCUUGCCAAUGGCAUGAAAUGGCCCUCUUUGGAAAUAAUAUGAAAUGGCCCUCUUGGCAAUGGCAUGAAAUGACCCUCUUGACAAUAAUAUGAAAUGACCCUCCUAGCAAUGGCAUAAAAUGGCCCUCUUGGCAAUGAUAUGAAAUGACCCUCUUAGCAAUGGCAUGAAAUAACCCUCUCGGCGAUGAUAUGAAAUGGUUCUUUCGGUGAUUUGAAAAUAGUUUCACCUGAGUUCAUUUAUCUGUAUUUUUCUUUCUACCUGUACCUGUACUCAGGGUAGACAAUUAGUAGACACAAUGUCGCUCUCACGUUGCUUCACUUCAAGGUGCAUUUUGAGGAUAACUGUCUGCUCUUCCUCCUAUUGAGUGAUCCUUUGAUUGUUGUAUUUAUUGUGCUAACUCCCUUGAAUGUACCUGCGCUCAAGGUAAAUAUUUAGAAGACACAAAGUCGCUUUUGCUAGCGACUAUUUUUUAGAAAAAUUCUAAAUACAAUAUUCAUAAAGAAGAUAAGACGCCUUUAUUUGUCCUUCAUAGUCUCAAGAAAUGAAAUAAAUAAUUCAAAAGAUUCUCGAUAAAUGGGUCUUAAACCCAUUUUUAGGGCUACCCAAAAAUACCGUUCUUGAGCGUUAUAUGCUCUGGUGUGGCUCCCAACUUGCUCGGGAAUUUUUGAAAGAGACUCUCAUUUUUGUGUAUUGUGUAUUGAUCCCUGCAUCCACAGAAAAAUUAUUAGUUUGAGUGAAACUACUCCGUGUUGACCUCCUUCGAUCCUUGGUUUGCUUCUCACCAUCUUUCGGAUACUCCGUCUUGUUAGGACUUCCAUCCUGACUCCCCACUCUAAUAGAUGCCUAGGCAAUCACUAAGUAAAAGAUCUGUAUAGAUUUUUUAAAGUAGUCUUAAUUUUAGAAAAUAGUUUCAAAAGUUUCUGUAAAAGCUUUACAAAAUCUCUGCUAAUCAUGUCAUGUACUAGCUCAACGAACGUCUUCCUCUUGUUUUGACUAUAUCCGAUGGAGGAUUUCCAAAACUCAUCAUCAUUGUUGGAGGGUUCUUCAAAUAGUUCUGUCAUCGCCGAAGAAUUAGUCUACCUAGACUUUGUAGCAACUGGUGACUUCUAAAGUUUAACUUCGACCUCUGGUGCUGGGUAAUUUGAAGUAUAUUCCAAUGUUUAGUGGAAAUUUUAAGGCCUUCCUCAAAAUUUUUGCCCCAGUUUAAUGUUGUUUGAGAUGAUCCCAACUCAAGAGAAUCCAAAUUCUUUGUUGGUCUUCGUUCUCUUUGUUGGAUGAUGAUCUUUCUCUUGUGAAUUUUUGAGAUUCUUUCUCAAAAAUUCUACCCCAGUUUCUAUUUCCUGGGGUUACAUGACCAAGACAUUGGGGCGCCUACGUAUCCCGUUGAAGCAGGAAUCAGGUCAAACGUAGUUUAGCGUACACUAAGGAUAUAUAGAAAAAUCUAAUGGGUUGACCGAAGCCAACAGAGGCCGCCUACGUAUCCCUUUCUUGGGAAUUCAGGUCAUCACGUAGUUCAUACAUAAAAGAAAAUGGUAAAUUCUCCUAAGGGGUUGACCGAAGCCGACAUAGGCCGCCUACAUAUCCCUUUCUUGGGAAUUCAGGUCAAACGUAGGUCAUACAUGAAAGAAAAGGGACUCUAGGCAAUUACACAUCAUAAAAUAGAUACUAACAUAAAGGCGAUUACAAACAAAGGAAACAAAAGUUAAAAUAUCUUUCAAACAUAGUACCAUUUACCCCAUCAGAAUUGAUUAGUUUGGUCCACUCUUGGCCAUCCAUCUCAUACAAAAUCAGAGCUCCUCCGGAUAGUACCUUGCGAACUAUGUAUGGCCCUUGCCAAUUUGGAGCGAACUUGCCCUUGUACUCCUCUUGGUGAGGGAAUAUGCGUUUGAGAACCAAUUGCCCAACUUCAAAAGUUCGAGCUCUUACUUUCUUGUUAAAGGCACAAAUCAUCCUGUGCUGAUACAACUGACCAUGACAAACAGCAGUUAUUCUCUUUUCAUCAAUCAAUAGGAGUUGUUCAUAGUGAGCGCGAACCAUUCUUCGUUACUUAGUCCGACUUCUUGAAUAAUCCUUAAAGAAGGUAUCUCAACCUCAGUAGGUAUCACAGCUUCAUUCCCAUAAAUAAGUAGAUAAGAAGUUGCCCCGAUGGACGUUCGAACUGUUGUACGAUAUCCUAUCAAAGCGUAAGGCAAUAUCUCAUGCUAUGAUCUAUCAUUUUCAACCAUCUUUCUAAAGAUCUUCUUGAUGUUCUUAUUGGUGGCUUCUAUGGAUCCAUUCAUCUGUGGACGAUAUGCGGUCGAGUUGCGAUGCACGAUUUUGAAUGGAUCACAAAUUUCAUUCAUCAAGUGACUAUUCAAGGUAGCCCCAUUAUUAGUAAUGAUUAAUUCCAGCACUCUAAAUCGGCAAAUCAAGUUAUUCCUAAUGAAAUCUGCAACCACUUUCUUGGUGACAACUCUAUACGAAGAAGUUUCAACCCACUUAGUAAAGUAAUCAAUAGCAACCAAAAUAAAUCUAUGCCCAUUUAACGCCAGUGGCUCUAUUGGUCUAAUAACAUCCAUACCCCAAGCAAGGCUAAGGUGAACUCAUCGCAUGAAGCUCAUAUGGAGGCAUUCGAAUCAAAUCUCCGUGUAUCUAACAUUUUAGGCAUUUCUGUACAUACUUGCUGCAAUCAUUUUCCAUAGUCAUCCAGAAGUAACCAGUCCUCAGGAUCUUUCUAGCAAGGGCAAACCCGUUCAUGUGGGGUCCGCAAACUCUAGCGUGUACUUUUUUUAUUAAUUUCUUGGCUUCCGCAGCGUCGACACAUCUUAAAAAUCCUAAGUCUGGAGUCCUCCUAAAAGGAUUUCCCCACUUGGAAAAUAAUUCUUUGCCAAACGCCAGAUUGUCUUCUUUUGAAUGUUGUGGCCUGUUCAGGAUAUAUUCUAGAUUCUAGAUACCUUUUAAUAUCAUAGUACCAUGGCUUUUCGUCAGGCUCAUCUUUGACGUGUGCACAAUGAGCGGGUUGCUCUUUCAAGCUUAUUUCUAAAGAAUCAAUGUAACUCUGAUCUGGGUGCUGAAUCAUGGAUGAUAUAGUGGCCAAAGCAUCAGCAAAUUCAUUCUGCAUCCUUGGGAUAUGUCUGAAGUCAACUUCCUUGAAUCUACCACAUAAUUUUUGCACCAGCUCCACAUAAAGAGUAAUCUUGGAGUUCUUUACCUCCCAUUCUCCUCGUACUUGAUGAAUCAACAAAUCUAAGUCUCUGAUGACUAGCAAUUCAUGAACUCCUAUAUCAAGAGACAAUUUGAGCCCUAAGAUGCAAGAUUCAUAUUCGGUCAUGUUAUUGGUGUAUGGGAAAUGCAACUUAGUGGUUACUGGAUAGUGUUGUCCUUUUUCUGACACCAAAAUUGCUCCGAUUCCUAAACCUUUAAAGUUGAAUCCCCCAUCAAAGAACAACCUCCAGUCGGGGUAAAUUUUUGCAAUGUCUUCUCCCACGAAUAAAAUUUCCUCAUCUGGGAAGUAAGUUUGAAGUGGCUCAUAUUCAUCAUCAGCCGAAUUCUCUGCCAAAUGCUUUCCCCUUGAUUGUUUUUUGAGUCACAUACACAAUGUCGAACUCACUCAACAAUAUUUGCCACUUAGCUAACUUCCCUUUAGGCCUAGCUUUCUGGAAUAUAUACUUAAAGGGAUCCAUUCUAAAAAUAAGAUACGUUGUGUAUGAGGACAGAUAAUGCCUCAAAUUUUGACCAACCCAGGUUAAAGCACAAUAAGUCCUUUCUACAAGAGUAUAGCGAGCUUCAUAUGGCGUAAACUUUUUACUCAAGUAGUAAAUGGCUUUCUCUUUCUUAUCGGCCUCAUUGUGUUUCCCGAGGACACAUCUAAAAGCAUUUUCUGAGACUGACAGGUAGAGAAACAAUGGGCUUCCCUCCCUUGGCAGGACUAAAACCAGCGGAGCAGAUAAAUAUUCCUUGAUUUUGUUGAAAGCUUUCUGACAUUCUUCUGUCCACUCAUUCAAUGCAUCUUUCUUCAAUAUCUUGAGGAUUGGCUCACAUAUGACUGUUGAUUGAGCAAUGAACCUGCGAAUGUAAUUCAAAUGACCCAAAAAACUCUAAACUCUUUCUUGUUCCUCGGUGGUGACAAAUCCUGAAUUGUCUUGAUCUUGGAUAGAUCUAGCUCAAUGCCCCUUCUGCUGAUUAUGAACCCCAUUAAUCUUCCGGCUGGCACACCGAAGGCACACUUAGCAGGAUGUAACUUCAAAUUGUACUUUCUCAAUCUAUUGAAGAACUUUCCAGCUGGGUCAGAUGAUCCAAACUCUCAGGGGAUUUGAUGAUUACAUCAUCCACGUACACCUCAAUCUCUUUAUGAAUAUAUCAUGGAAAAUCAUCAUCAUAUCCCUCAUGUAUGUUGCACCUGCAUUCUUGAGGCCAAACGACAUUACUCUGUAAUGAUAAACACCUCAGGGUGUAAUGAAAGUUGUCUUCUCUGCAUCCUCUUUAUCCAUCAAUAUCUGAUGAUACCUGAUGAAACAAUCCACGAAAGACUGCAUCUCAUUAUUCGCACAAUUAUCAAUGAGGAUGUGGAUGUUGGGCAACGAAAAAUUAUCUUUAGGACUGGCUUUGUUCAAAUCCCUAUAGUCAACACAAAUUUGAAUCUUGCCAUCCUUCUUUAGCACUGGGACAAUGUUGGCUAACCGUGUUGGAUAUUUUGUGACUUCCACAACCUUCGACUAAAUUUGCUUCAUCACUUCUUCCUUAAUCCUUAAACUUAAGUCCGACUUGAAUUUUCGUAUGUUUUGCUUGAAUGGACCAAACUCGGGAGUGAUCGGUAACUUAUGUGACACAAUGUUAGUGCUCAAUCUCGGCAUAUCAUCGUAGGACUAGGAAAUUACAUCAAUGUACUCCCACAACAAGUGAACGAGUUCUCUUUUUUAUGCUUCUGCUAAGUGAACACUAACACUUGUUUCUUUGAUUUCAUCAUGAUCGCCCAGAUUGACUGUUUCAGUUUCCUCUAGGUUGGGCUUCUCCCGGUUCUCAAACUCUUCUAUAUCUUUCACUAACCGAUCCUCGUCAGUUUUUUUCCAAUCAUCAUUAUUUCUCUUAUUUUUUCGUCUAAGCUUUGACAUGACAUAAUGAUAGCAGGUUUUAAGUUAUUGUUACUGUAAUAAACAAACAAACCAAGUUGGAUGAUAAUAAGAUAAUAACAAGAUAGUAGAACAUAUGAAUGUAAUCAUAUUUCAAAAUAACUUCUUAAAUAAAGGGAGGCCUUUUCAUUGGAAUUCAGGAAAUAAGAACAAACUAUGGCUCAUGACCCGCACAAAUACGGACCCAUGCCUUUUUGAAAAUAGUAAAAUACAAAAAAGAAAAUUGAGACAUAAAGGGUGGAUCGCGGGGCCUUCUCCAGAUCAUCGCCGAUUUUAGAAGCUACUAGUAAUUCCCAUUUUAUCUACCACGAUGGGUGAUGGGUAAUGAGUGAAAUGGAGGUCCAAUUUUGCAAAUCCUCUCCUAGUGUGACCUUCUACACCCUACUGGACUUCAGGGAAAUCAUCGGGUACAGCAUUGCAUCCUUCGAACAGAUUUCCUAUCCCAUCCCCAAGACCAUUAUCAUUUUGCAUCCACGCAUAGAAAAUGACUGGUACAGGAGCGGCAAGGGCCUAGAUAGACUCGCCUUUGACUUAUUCUUAAUCUCAUCAUCCUCUAUCGGCUGGUAUCAUAACCCAUACUUAGAUUCUUUCUCUGGAACCAUAAUGGGUUCAAUAAUUCCUUCCAGAUCCUUUCCCAAGCCCCGACCAGGCUCGAAUCUACUUUUUGACAUCACAGUCGCAAUCAUUUUGUAGACAGUAGGCAUUGGAGCUUCAGGCGUCAAAUCUUUCUCCGCAACACUCAUAAUUUCCACAGUAUAGAAACUACUACCCUUUGAGAUAUCUUCAAUCACGGUACACAACUAUUGGGAUGACUUGCAUGGCUCUCUUCCGCUUGAAUGACUAUUUUAUGAUCCUCCCAAAUAACUUCAAUAGCUGAUGAAGGGUCGAUGAAACUGCCUUUGCACCAUGGGCCCAUGGUCUUCCCAAGAGCAGGUUGUAACUAGGAUGGAUAUCCACAACAUAAAAUUUAGCCUUGAAUUCAGCAGGUCCCAUCUGGAUGUACAGAUCAAUUUUACCUAUGGUAUCUCUCUGCCCUUUAUCAAAUACCCACACAUUUGCGUGGCUUUGGAAAAUUUUCCCUAAAUCAUAGCCUAUUUAAACCAAUGUGGACAGAGGAAAAAUAUUCAAACUAGAUCCGUCAUCUAUCAAUACCCGAUUAAUCACAUAGUCCCAACAAAUGACAGUGACGUGCAUGUCUUUAUAAUGCAUCACCCCUCAAAUGGCAACUCUUUCUCACUGAAAGAUAUGCGAUGACUUCCCAUAAUAUUUCCUAUCAUUGUGGCCAAAUUCUCAACACUCGUGUUGCGGGAACGUAUGCUUCAUCCAGGACCUUCAAUAAAGCUUUUCAAUGGUAUUGCAAACUCAUUAAUAGUGCUAAAAUAAAAAUCUAGGUCGGAGUCUUCUCUAAAUGCUUCACAAUCCCCUUUAGUGAUUGGCGUUUUCUGUGAAUCCUUCCUAUUGUUCAAAUCUUUAGGAAUGUAGCAUCAUCCAGACCAUGUCAUCCCUUGGGCAGCGGUGGUUUCUAUAAUAAAUUCCUUACUGGGCGGAGGAGUGUACACCUAAGUUGGGGCCACCAUUACUUCAAAUGGGGGAUUCUCAUUGACACUUAAGGCAGCUACGGCUCUUUCUAUCUUCUCCACAUCUUCCUUCCUUUUGAGCUUUUCUGAAUUCACCUUAGUGAUGGUCUUGUUGGAUACCCAUUCGCCCUCUAUUUCAAUCAUGUUAACUGCAGGUCCCCCAUGAUUAGGCAAUGGAUUACUUUUGAUAUUUGGUGUUGGCGACUAAAGUGUGAUGACCUUUUGAUCAAUCAAAUCUUGGAUCUUAUAUUUUAAGUUAAUAUAAUCCUCUGUACUAUCCCCCAUCGCUCCCGAAUGAUAGGCACAAUGUUGAUCGGCAUGAUAAAAUCAGGAGUUGGGAUUGAUAAAUUUUGGUUGGAUAGGCUGUAGAUGACCGGUAACAUUCAAUCUCCUAAAGAGUUGAGUGCGAUAUUCGGCCAGCGGUGUGAAAUUUUUGGGAGGUCUUUUCUCGAGGUUUAGACGUGGAGGGUUAUAAUGGUUCUGAUUAACAGGAGGACUUGGCCAUGGGGCUUGGUAUUGGGAUUGGAUAUUUGGAAGUGGAGCUUGGUAUUGAGAUUGGAUAUUUGAGAGUGGAGCUUGGUAUUGGGGUUGGGUGUAGAACACAUGCUGAAAAUUUGGCGACGGCGAAGAGGAGAGAACGUUCGUAGGCUUGAAUUUCUUCUUCAAUGUAGCAACAGAAUCAAUAGAAAUUAUGCCUACAUCUUUCUUUUUCUUUAUUGGGAACAUAGAAGUCUCAAAUGAUGUUGGAGUUUUGACAAUCUUUCCUGUUCGAAUACCUUCUUCUAACGAUUCCCCAAUUUUCACCAAAAGUUGCUCUAACUGCGGAUACCAUCCUAGUAUAAUAUUCUCCAUCCUGAGCACGAGUGAACAUAGACACCAUCUCUUCCUCAGACAUGGGAGGUUGCAUUUUGACAACUUCUUUUCUCCAACGAAUGGCAUAGUCUUGAAAAAACUCAUUAUUAUUCUAUUUGAUCCGGUCUAAUGAAUAUCGGUCAGCGACUAUCUCAAUUUUAAACGCAAACCUAUAAGGAAACCUUUAGCCAAUGCCUUCCAACUAGUCCAUUUUUUCAGUUCUUGAGACGUAAACCAAUCUAAGGCUUCACCGCUUAAGCUCCGGCUGAACAAGCACAUCAAUAAUGCCUCGUUUUGGCCUACCCCCACCAUUUGAUCACAAUACCUUUUCAGAUGGGCUAUUGUAUCCUUCUGGUAGAUCUACUCCGGGGUGAACACAUAGAUGAUCGUAACCUAGACCAUCAUUGUCUGUCGCCCCAUGAGAUUCCUUGAUCCUCAUAAUUUAUUCAUUUAUAGCCAAUAACUUCAUUUUAUGUUCAGUCCUCCACUCUUUUUUCUUCUCCUCGUAAUGGUCUAUCUCGAUAUUGGGAAAGGGAUUUAUAUGUCAGGGGAUAUAAUGACAUAGGAAGAAUUUGGUAGGGUACCUUGAUUUUGAGGAUGAGAGGAGGUUGGGUGGAAGGUAGGGAGGAAGUUUUGGAAAUUAGAAAAGUUUUGUGGAAUUUUAGAGUAGUUUGGUGGGAUCUGAGAAGGAUUUUGCGAAUUUAGAAAUUAAUUUUGUGGAUUCAAGGAUGGAUUUGGUAGAUUUGGUAGAUUUAGGGAUGGAUUUUGUAGAUUUGGGAGCGAAUUUUGUGGAUAUGAAAGUGAAUUUUAUAGAUUUGGAAGCAAAUUUUAUGGAUUUGGAAGCGGGUUUUGUGGGUUUGAAAAUGGGUUAUGGGGAUUUGGGAAUGAAUUUUACGAAUUUGGAGAUGGGUUUUGUGAGGUUAGGGUUGGAUUUUGUGGAUGGUAAGCAUCUUGGUUAUUUUCGUGAUUGGUGUUUUGGAUAAGUUGAGGAGCAGAGACAGACGAUAUAUUAUUGGAAUGGUCCCCGAGAAUAGGCGUACUGAGGGGAGGGAUCUGAAGUAAAGUCCCAUGCCCUCCUAGAGCAGGAGCAUUGGUAGUGAUGGUCUGGUUAGCCAAGUCUCGAGUACGAUUCAUCUCUUCCUGAAGCACUUCUAAUUUUCUCGUGAGUUCAGCAAUCAUCUCGCUUUGUUGCUAUUACAUUAUCCCUGAUGGUCAACGCAUUUUCUUCGUUGUUUCUAGAUAUUUUUGAAUGAUGGUCAGAGGAUGGCAUUUUAUGUACUUUUGAUCGGGUAGAGUAAGGAUGUUCUACCAGCUUAUUCAACACGGAGUAGUUUUCUAUUAUCUAUAAAGUAAAAUAACUCAAAGGCAGAUGUGUUAGUUUCUAUAUGUGAUAGGUAAUGCAAUAUACUUGACAAGAAGUAAACACAUAUAGUUGUUUUUAUCAUAGGUAAAUUCAUCCACGGGUGGGUAUUGACUCGAAAGAAAUAACGGGUUAGUCUUUAUCCAUUGAAUUUUGGAUAAAUAGGUCUUGACAAGAUUUUUGCCAAGUCUUUUGAUUUUGGACUCAUCUGAAUUUUGACAAAAUGAGACAUAACGAUUUUAAAGGAUAGAGGCCGAGCCAAAAGGCUGCUUACAUAUCUCACAAAGGAGAAAUCAGGCCGUAUGUAGUUCAAAUAGCUUGGGACAAAAGUUUAUUUCAUUGACAUUCCAUUAGAGUUCAUUACAUCAGGAAACACGAAAGAAAAACAACGACGGAAAAUACAAGACUAAUGACUAAGUCCUAGAUAGAUGCAAGCAUUCCCACUUCAUUCUAGUUCUUCCACAUCUUGAUCUUCUAUAAGUGGUAUGGCGGGAAUUCCAGCUCGACCCUUUUUGUAUCCACCAGGCUCUCUAAAUCCAUCUUAGGAAUUUCUUCCAAGCCUUAGACAUCGUAUUAGGAUUCCUCUCUACUGGUUCCAAAAUUUUGGCAUGGAUGAGCUUUGAGUAGAUUUCAUGGUAAGUAUCUUCAAACUUUGUGAAGUCAUAUUUGUAAAUUUGCAUGUCGGUUAUGGGCAUGCCUGAAUCAACCCGAUCGCAACAAAGAAUAGCUUGCAGCCCCCAUAAAUUAUUCAUAUGACCAUUAUGGAUCAUGUUACAAAUUUUGGCCUUCAGAAUAAGACACUCAUCAAUGAUGUGGCCACAUUGGUUUAGAUGAUAUGAUAUCUCUUAUGAACAUCUUCGGAAAGGCAGCCGAAUCUUUCUAUUUGAUCAGGGUGGAGGAUUCUCAUAUCUCUUAGAACCUGAUAGACUGUUCAGCAUGUCAUGAUCUGGGGGUACCGUGAGUAUCCUUUUAAGUGAGCUUUGAGGAUGAUCUUUUCAUUUCCUAACCUGAUCCUAGUUGUCUAGACGGAAUCCCCUUUAAUCUUGGCCCAGCGGUCCUCUCUUAAGUUUGAGGGCGGAGCUUGCUCAAACUUCUUCUUUUCCUGUGUGAUCAACUGCUUGACUUUAGCAAUUUCCUCGUCGAUCUGAUCAACCCUCUUAAUCAAUCUUUUGACCUCUUCUUUUUGCAUUUCUUCUAUUUCGGCUAACUCCAAUAUCCGUCUUUUCAGCUAUGUGGUCCUUGAAUCUAUGAAAAAUUUUCCUGAAAGAAUAUACAUAUGAAAAUGGUUGAGGACUUUAUGAGAAACUUGGGACUUGGCAUGUUUUGGACGGACCUUAGAUAGUAUGUGCGUAUUUUCUGCCUAAAGGGUUUUCUAAGGAUCUGUUGGGGAGUAGAUCAGUUUACCUUUGAUUUAACAACACACAUAGCACAUAAAAAAUUAUAUCACAUAAGACAGUUAUAUCACACACAACAGAUAAUGCGUGCGUCUUAGUUGUGUUACCCCUUUGAGCCAAGGGUUGGCCUAGCGGGUUUUGAAGAAAAUAUAUGCCUUUUUAAAGCCAAUCCAUUAUCCUUCCAAUUUUCAUAGACAUGUAAAAAGGCAUAAAUAUCUACAAAAGAUAACAAAAGAGGGAUACAAUCUUUAGAGGAACGGGAAAUAACAUGAAAGAAAAUAAGGUCCCACGCAGGGGAAUAGAAAAACUACCUACUGGAUGCUCUUUCGCUUGCCUUUGCCUUCUUAGCCUUGUUCACCUCCUACCAAAUCUGAUAUUUGUUGAUGAUCAAAUGACUCCCAAAUAAUUGCGCCUUGUUCUCGUAGGUCAUUCUUUCUAUGUCGCCAAUCUGAGCAGUCAUGCAAUCAUCCAAAUCAAUCAAACACUGCCUAGCAUUGCUAGCCUCUUGCCUGACUCGCUUCAACUCUUUCCUCAACAUAAGUAUAGUCAAAGCACCCUCCAUAUGCAUUUGUUGGUGUGUGAUUUCACAUUUUUUGAAAUCCAUCCCGAAGUCUGUGGAGUCAGAUCUGAUGCUCUGAUUCCACAUCAACAACCCGAGUGGGUACAUUCGGCCCUGGAAUCAAUGCUCCAACGAGACUCUUUUUCAACCACUCCUUGUAAGUAUCGCUAACUUUGGGUUCAUACUCGAUACGAAAAGAAAUUUCCUUCCACCCUCUUCUACUCCAUCCAUUUACUAUGUAGUCUUUGGGCGGAGACUCGCCUUCAUCAUACUCAGUGAAGAAUCUAAGCAUAGACUCGAAUUGGGGUGUCUUCUGCUUGAUCUCGAAUUGUCUAAGAACUCUGUCAGGAUUGUAGGGACGGGUCCCCCUGAGACCUGAAAGCACUAGAAAAGGCCACUCACAUCCUCGAAUGAUAUAUCUCCCUGAACGAAGAUAUUUGAUGGACCAUUGGACAUCGUUAUCCCUUAAUUCUCCAAGAGUCUUAAACCCAAAUACCGGAGAUGCUUCCCUUUUGAACUUGUGCAGGAACAGCCACAUGUCAUGCGAUGAUAAAAGAUCAUCCCUCUUUUUAUGAUCAGGCUAUAUCGUUCUAGAAUUUUUAACCAAAUGCAUCAUCAUCCACAAUUGCAAGAUAAGGUUGCAACCUUGAAAGAAAUGAUCCUCGGCUUGACACCUUCUCAAAGCUCGAUAUAUGUCGGCUAUAAUCAUGGGAGCUAAGUUAUGGAAUACCUUUUUAGAAUCGUACUUCAUUCCAUAGAAGAGUGUGUGGGUCACCGUGACAACCCUUAGAUGAAUUGUGCCAUUUUCCCCUUGUGGAAACACCAUAGUUCCCAGUAGGCCUACCGCAAAUGCAAAUGCUCUUGUCUCCUUCCAUUUUGCUUUCGACUCAAACUUAUGUUCGAACUUUUAAAAAGCAUUAAAUCUUCCAAACUGGCAAUACAACUCACGAAAAGGGAUAUUUUCCCCCAUCACGUUCCCCUAGCCAGGUGUCAUUAUCAGUUAGAAAUACCUUCUUGAUCUCUUGACGAUCCCACACUAUCGGGACUAGAAUGUUCUUAUCAGGUGUCUCUUUUCUCUUGAAAUAUAUCUCAGUACUCUCGUAACAAAUCAACACUUCUUCAAUAGUGGGAGUCAAUUCAACAUUCCCGAAGCGAAACACCAUAUUCUGAUCAUCCCAAAAGGUUGUUAGCACAUGAAUCAUUUCGGGCCAAGCGUCCAUCUCAAUCAACGAAGGCAAAUGCCCGAUAUGUGUUCUAACAAUCUUUUUUUCUUUUCCGCUUAUUAAUCCCACCAUAGUUUCAGGAAAUUGUCGAGUCCGGUAACCAUCUUGAGCUUUUCACGAGAAUGUAGUUGAGCCAUAUCCUACAUAAAAGAAGACAAAGAUGAGCUUUCCUCUGACCCCAAAGGAUAAUGGAUUGAAUUAAACAUACAUUUUCUUCAACACAUAAAUAUGAUUCUAGGCUCAUGCCUAAAAUAGGAUUUUGGUUUCACUCUAUCCUAGGUGUCUAGAAUGGGUUUGAACCAGGUUCCAAAGCGAACGACUUGGGUUUGAAAAUACGAACAUCCAUCAGACGACUCACGUGCUAAUAAAUCGUCGUAUUUUCAACACCUUAUUUGGAGUUGAACAACAAGGGUCGGUACAUCCACAAAAUCCCAAAACAGUUUAUAAAUAAAUGCAGAAAUAUGUUAUGAGAUGCAAUAAUUAAAUACCGCAAAAUCAAACAUAUAAUCACAUAGACAAUUAAUCAAAAGACGAAAACAAACAUUUGAUUAGAACCUAGUUUAAAUAUCCCCAGAAGAGUCGUCAUUUCUGUUUUAUCCCUUUUCGAAUUUUUAUUUUAAAGAAAAUGAUUUUGACCCUUUUAAACUCUUUCAAAAGAUUCAAGAGAAUGUCGAAAUAAUUUUGAAAGAUUUUACAGAAUCGCCACUUGAUUUUUAUAAAAAAUAUCAAGAAAACUUACAAUAGAUUUCAAAGAUUCAAAAAUAAAAAUAAACCUUUGAAAUAAGAAAACUGAGUAAGAGUUCAAUUAACGUCCUAAGAAGGUUUUUAAGACAUUUAGGAGCGUCUGUUUUAAAACGGUUCACCAAUAGACUUAUUUUUUGACUAACUUAAAAAUGUGACUUACUUUACGAAAAGGUUGACUUUAAAAUACUAAAAUUAUAUAUUUUACUCAAAAUUGGCAUUUGUUCAUUUGAAUGAGCAAUAGUCUACUUAAAUUAGAAAGAAAGCUACAACAUAUUCUGCUUAUUAAUUUUGAGAAAAACUAUUCUGCCAUAUUUAUGAUUAAAUUUUGGAAAAAAAAAGUUGCAAAAUAUUCUAUUUGAGAAAGUAUUUUACCUAAUUCGUAAUUAUGCCUAAGAAAGGAUAUGAAAUAUCUUACUUGAAUUAAAAAGAAACUUAUUUAGACUAGGUGACACAUUUGAAUUUAAAGAGAAUAAGUUGGUUUUUAUGUGAAAAGAAGAUCAUAUAAUUAUUUAGUAUCAUUUAUUGUCAUAAAAAUGGUCAUUUUGUUAUGGCUAACACUUUUGAAAAACAUUAAGAAUAUCAUAUUAAAAUAUUUCAUCAAUUGUAGAAAGUUGGAAUCUACGAGAAAACAACUUUUCGAGUUUGAAGAGAAUUAUAUUUUUUUUUACCCAAGUAGACUAUUUUGUCAUAUGAACAAAACAAAUGUCAUUUAGACUAAAGUACUCAUUUCCCAUUUUUCUUUCAUACGAGACUUGUUUAAGAAAAAGUCAACGAAACCAAAUUAUUCCUUUUUUAAAAAAAAUGAAUUAGGCGAGACAAUUGCAAAUCAAGUAGGAAAAUUGAGAUAAAAUAAAAUAGCAUGGGGAAACACUAGGCUAAUUAUAAAGUUAGUACAAGUAGACAAUAAGCAUAAAAUGCAAAUUAUAAGUAAACAAAAGAUCAAAAGUUGAGAAUGGGCCCUUUUAGGCCCAUCAGUGGGCUGCCCAGCUUUGGGCCUCCCAUUGUAUGGACUUUUAAGUCCAUUUUUCUGCAUUGUACACCACAGGUAUACCAGUCCCUCUUUUCUAGCAUUUUGGGUAUAUUUAGUGUAUAUAUGACCGUAUUUCGGUCAUAUAUACAUAACUUUGGCCCUCCGUCUGUAUCAUCAGCUCCGUUUUCUCCUUUUUUUCACCGUAUAUCACCCGUAUACCGGCUUCCAUAAUGCGUAUACCACUAUAUUAGGACUGUAUCUACAUGUUAGUCCCUUCGAUUACUUUUGGGACGUGGUCCCGGAGAGAUGCAGGCUAUGGAGUCCAAUUGGACUCGGACGAUUUACAUAAAAUGUAAGGAUUAGUACAUGCAACAUGUAGUACCAAUAUGCGUUAGUGAAAAUAGAGCCUGUGAAUAUGUCCAAGUAGCAAGUAACAAAGACAAGAACUUGUGAAGAAAUAUCAAAUCCUCAACCAUUAACCAACAUGCCUAAACACUAGAUAUACUUGUGUAACAGUGAAGCACUUAGCACUAAUGAUGGAAAACUCGUGAAUACUUUUUGUAGCACUUACAUUGAGCAAAUUUUCAGUUACCAAGCGAAAUCAAAUAAAAAUAUAUCAAGAUUAACACACAACUCCCACAAGAGAACAGUAAGAACAAAAUUAAACAAAUAUCUUCACUUUACUGAUUCGAAGGAGAUGAACUUAUUAUUUUUUUUAUUUAUUUUUCACCAAUCCCACCAGCUCUUCGUCUCUCUAAGUCCAACUAACAUUACAGGUACCAACAUCUGGUAAAAGAUUAUUCGAGCCAUCUCCGGGAAAUGCAAUAUUUGGCACACAUGAAAAAAUGGCAAAGAAAGAAAAGAUAUGUCAAAGUUCAAAUCUUUGACAAUUUAUGUUGGAAUCUAGUCUCACCUUCAGACUAUUUU